UCAUAGAGUAGAGGUUGCGUUAAUCAUGAGUAGAUAAGCCGGAUGUGGCAGGCACAGGCGAUGGCUUAGGGAAAGGGAGAAACGCCGAAGAGGAAGCGUUCCUUGUUCACGCCCCCUCUGGGCAUAUGGUUAAGAGCCGUAUGACUGUCAUCCGGGUGGAUGGAGAGCUACCAAAGAA
rfam:Clostridium clostridioforme CAG:132 genomic scaffold, scf257